UACAGAGGCCCCAAGCGUUACUGAGAAUCACUGGGUUUAAAGGGUGCGUAGGUGGCGCGUUAAGUCCGUUGUGAAAUCCCUGGGCUCAACCAAGGAAAUGCUUCGGAUACUGGCGUGCUUGAGGCCGGUAAGGGUCACUGGAACUGACGGUGGAGCGGUGAAAUGCGUAGAUAUCGUCAGGAACGCCAAUGGUGAAGACAGGUGACUGGGCCGGUACUGACACUGAGGCACGAAAGCGUGGGGAGCGAACGGG
rnacentral:rRNA from 1 species